rnacentral:rRNA from 1 species
UUUAAUGAGAGUUUGAUCCUGGCUCAGGACGAACGCUGGCGGCGUGCCUAAUACAUGCAAGUGGAACGCACUUAUCUCACUGGAGCUUGCUCCACCGAGAUAAGUGAGUCGCGAACGGGUGAGUAACGCGUAGGUAACCUGCCUCAUAGCGGGGGAUAACUAUUGGAAACGAUAGCUAAUACCGCAUAACAGUAUUUACCGCAUGGUAGAUGCUUGAAAGGAGCAAUUGCUUCACUAUGAGAUGGACCUGCGUUGUAUUAGCUAGUUGGUGAGGUAACGGCUCACCAAGGCAUCGAUACAUAGCCGACCUGAGAGGGUGAUCGGCCACACUGGGACUGAGACACGGCCCAGACUCCUACGGGAGGCAGCAGUAGGGAAUCUUCGGCAAUGGGGGCAACCCUGACCGAGCAACGCCGCGUGAGUGAAGAAGGUUUUCGGAUCGUAAAGCUCUGUUGUAAGAGAAGAACUGUGAGAAGAGUGGAAAGUUUCUCACUUGACGGUAACUUACCAGAAAGGGACGGCUAACUACGUGCCAGCAGCCGCGGUAAUACGUAGGUCCCGAGCGUUGUCCGGAUUUAUUGGGCGUAAAGCGAGCGCAGGCGGUUUGAUAAGUCUGAAGUAAAAGGCUGUGGCUUAACCAUAGUACGCUUUGGAAACUGUCAAACUUGAGUGCAGAAGGGGAGAGUGGAAUUCCAUGUGUAGCGGUGAAAUGCGUAGAUAUAUGGAGGAACACCGGUGGCGAAAGCGGCUCUCUGGUCUGUAACUGACGCUGAGGCUCGAAAGCGUGGGGAGCGAACAGGAUUAGAUACCCUGGUAGUCCACGCCGUAAACGAUGAGUGCUAGGUGUUGGGUCCUUUCCGGGACUCAGUGCCGCAGCUAACGCAUUAAGCACUCCGCCUGGGGAGUACGACCGCAAGGUUGAAACUCAAAGGAAUUGACGGGGGCCCGCACAAGCGGUGGAGCAUGUGGUUUAAUUCGAAGCAACGCGAAGAACCUUACCAGGUCUUGACAUCCCAGUGACCGUCCUAGAGAUAGGAUUUUUCUUCGGAACACUGGUGACAGGUGGUGCAUGGUUGUCGUCAGCUCGUGUCGUGAGAUGUUGGGUUAAGUCCCGCAACGAGCGCAACCCCUAUUGUUAGUUGCCAUCAUUCAGUUGGGCACUCUAGCGAGACUGCCGGUAAUAAACCGGAGGAAGGUGGGGAUGACGUCAAAUCAUCAUGCCCCUUAUGACCUGGGCUACACACGUGCUACAAUGGCUGGUACAACGAGUCGCAAGUCGGUGACGGCAAGCUAAUCUCUUAAAGCCAGUCUCAGUUCGGAUUGUAGGCUGCAACUCGCCUACAUGAAGUCGGAAUCGCUAGUAAUCGCGGAUCAGCACGCCGCGGUGAAUACGUUCCCGGGCCUUGUACACACCGCCCGUCACACCACGAGAGUUUGUAACACCCGAAGUCGGUGAGGUAACCUUUUAGGAGCCAGCCGCCUAAGGUGGGAUAGAUGAUUGGGGUGAAGUCGUAACAAGGUAGCCGUAUCGGAAGGUGCGGCUGGAUCACCUCCUUU